UAAUGUAUGGGGAUCUGCCCGAUAGAGGGGGAUAACUACUGGAAACGGUGGCUAAUACCGCAUAAUGUCUACGGACCAAAGCAGGGGCGUCUUCGGACCUUGCGCUAUCGGAUGAACCCAUAUGGGAUUAGCUAGUAGGUGGGGUAAAGGCUCACCUAGGCGACGAUCUCUAGCUGGUCUGAGAGGAUGAUCAGCCACACUGGGACUGAGACACGGCCCAG
rnacentral:rRNA from 1 species